rnacentral:misc_RNA from 1 species
AAGUCGUAACAAGGUUUCCGUAGGUGAACCUGCGGAAGGAUCAUUAAUGAAUAACUUUGGCGUGGUUGUAGCUGGCUCCUUGGAGCAUGUGCACACCCGUCAUCUUUAUCUUUCCACCUGUGCACCACAUGUAGAUCUGGAUAACUCUCGCCUUCUAGCGGAAACAGGGAUUGCUGCGUCGCAAGGCCAGCUCUCCUUGAAUUUCCAGGUCUAUGUCUUUACAAACUCCAAUUGAAUGAUGAAGAAUGUAGUCAAUGGGCUCUAAGCCUAUAAAACACAAUACAACUUUCAGCAACGGAUCUCUUGGCUCUC